CCAGUACGAACUGAGCAGGCCGUUUUGAGCCGGGCCGUUUUCACGGCAGCAGAGUAGAACCGUGUCUCUGCGGGACAGUU
rnacentral:ncRNA from 1 species